ncrna:unclassified sequences IS605-orfB-I RNA
GUCCUAUACAGCUGUAUCAACGCAAGAUAGUUGAGCAUCUCCCUGUAGGAUGUAGAUUACUAGAAAUUCUGACAACAAUUUUCAUUGUGUGGCUACGGUCGAAAUGAAAUGAGUCUGGAUGGAAUAGGUUAACCGUAAGACCUUGAGUUGCAAAACUCUAAAAUUGAGCUAGGGAUGUGGAUUUCUUAAAUUCCGUAUUUUCUAGUUACGGUAUU